GCGGGCGUAGUUUAAUGGCAGAACAUUAGCUUCCCAAGCUAAUGGCGGCGGUUCGAUUCCGCUCGCCCGCU
rnacentral:tRNA from 1 species